CAGAGUUCGUGCCCUUCGGGGUAGACCUCCUACCGUGUUUAUUUAUACCUUUGUUGCUUUGGCAGGCCGUCAGGCUCCGGCUCGACUACCGGCCCCGGCUGGUAAGCGCCUGCCAGAGGAAAACCAAACUCUGAAUGUCAGUGUCGUCUGAGUAAAAACAUAAUAAGUUA
rnacentral:misc_RNA from 1 species